CCUGAGGUGAAUAAUUGUUUUAGUAUAAUUACAUAGGUGAUUAUUUGAAAAAAAAUAAAAAAAUACACAUUUCUUCGUCAUUUAAUUGACAAAAAGGCUUCGGCCGCCAUUUUGAAAAUCGCUUAGGUGAUUAUCGCGUAAUAAUCACCUCAACGGCAACCAAUCAGCGUGGAGAAUUUUCAAUAAUCACUUAUGUAAUUAUACUAAUUAUUAAUAAUAC